rnacentral:lncRNA from 1 species
GAGCCCUGGAGUCCUACAAUAAAGGGCAACUUUGAUUUUACCUAGAUUACAAGGACUUCAAAAGCUGUGCAUGGGAGCCCAUGCCUGUAAUUCCAGCAUUCAGUAGUCAAUUCAGGACAAUGAAUCUGAGGCCACAUAGUAAGUCCAAGGCCAACUUGAAUUAGGCUAUCCCUGUGUCAAGGAAAACAAGGGCUGGUGAUAGCUCGGUGGUAGAGCACCUAGUAUUCCUAGCAUCACAGGAGGGGAAGUCAAACAAACAAAUAUAAGAACUCUAUCAAGCACCAACCCACACUCCCCUUUUUAGUAUUCUGAGAUUUCUUCCCAAGUUUGCAAUUUCCAGUGCCCACCGCAGGGCUCUGUCUACCCUCAGACUCUGAGCUGAUUAAUAAGGGGCCAGUGUGGUGCCCCCUCUUUUUCUCUCUUGCCUUCCCAGCUCCCAUCUGGUGUCUCGUGACUGGAAGGCUAGACAGCUCCUGUUUCUACCUCAGAUCAGCUAGGAGGGACAUAUGGCCUCCAAGAGUGUCCAAGAGCUAAAGCAGACACUCUCCAGGUCAGAGGUCAGCAAGAAGCAGUGGGCCAUGAAGCCCAUGGUUUCCUCCCCAGGACUCAUUCCCAGGAGGACAACUGAAGCUAUCGAAGACUAAAAUCCAAACCAAAGGCGGUCUGACUUCAGGAGGCCGCUUCACAGCAGGCCGUCUGUGGCUCCAUCUGAAUCCUGUUUAGACAACGGGAGCAUAAAUGCGCUUCCCUGCAAUCUUUCCAGCCGCUCAGCAAGUCACAUAAGCCCCUCUCUGAGGGAGCAGACAUUUUUCAUACCGUGAGUCAGACGCUUGUCUCAUCCGCUCCCUGUGGGGAGCCAAAAUAGACUCCCUCAAAGUCAUCGUUCCAUCUGCUACAAAAUGCUCCUUGUAAGGGCUGUCCGCUGGCCCUGGCCCAGCACCGCUUUACCCACAAACAUGAAUGACCUGGGGAAGUCCAACUUAGCAACUUCUGACGUUAUUUAUAUAGCACGAACAAACAUGGGAGAAAGAAGAGAACCUCUAAUUUCCUCUCUGGAAACCCUUUGCAGCGUCUGCUUCCCUCCUCCACACGUGGUAGAGGAAGCUCCAGGCUACUACACCAAUAGUCAGGCUGGGUGACAGGACCCCAGGAACACUGACUACUGCAGCAGUGACUGCAGAUGUGGGGAGCAGUUGUCCAGUGGCCAUUGUGUGGGCUCUUUGAAGUCUGUCUUUUAUUUGUUUUUCUGAUCCAGGGUCCCAUGUACCUGGGUUGGCCUCAAACUCAUCUAGACAACUGAGGACGGCCAUGAAUUUCUGCUCCUCUUGCCUCCACUGCACAGGCCACCAUGCCUGGUUUUUGUGGUACUAGGAUGGAACCAAAGGCUUCCUGCAUGUUAGGCCAGCAUUCCAACAACUGAGCUGCAUCUACAGCUCUGUGUCAUUUAUCUUAUUUGGUCCCCACCCCAGAAGUUGGCAAUAAUAGUCUUGCUUUACCAAAGAGGGAACUUGGGAUAGGCAUAAAUCAAACCAGAGCUUCUGCCCCCACAGUGCCUUGGUCUUAAGGGUCUCCCUUGACUAAAUGUCCCUGCAGUGGUGGAGACUGGUGUGUUAGAAUAGCUGCAGGUAUAACACACACAUGGCAGGUGGAGAUGGGGCUAAAGCCAGCCUGAGAUCUUCUGUCCUGGGCCUGCAUAAUGGAUGACUCUAGAAAACCCUCGGCUACCCUCAGUACCACAGUUCCCUUGUUAGUCCUGAACCAGAUGUGUCACGCUUUAGGACAUCUGUUCCCAAUUUCUCUCAAGUGAUGGCAUGGACCAUCGUAAACAAUCAGCCAGGGGAACUGUACCCGGCUCGUACAAGCGCCCCCUCAACUAGCUCCCUUCUACAAAGGACCCCAGAGAUUUGCUUUCCUAAGCUGCUUUCCACAUCCCUCCCUGAGAACCACCCACUCUCCACCCCAGAAACCGUCUAGUCCGUAUCCUUCCCUUUCCUGUUUGAUUUGCUCAAUUUGAGGAGCAUGGGCCUUGCUGCGCCUCUCCCAGGCCAGAGUGCUCAUGUAUCACGUGUGUCCUUCUUUGGGAGCAUGGCCUGUUUCUUAGUGACUCUUGUUUCUCUGUAAUUGCUACCCCGCCCUUCCCAUUUUUAUCUUCUUCCUUCUUUCUAUAUUCAUACUUUUUAAAAAAAUAUGAUCUUAAAAAAAUAAUAAUAACCAAGGAAACUAAUCUGGAAAAGUUUGUCUAGCUUAAACUUCGGAUCGUUCAAAGCCCUGGAGUCCAAGGGCAGCAGGUGGUAGCACAUCUGUGUGGGGACAAGCGCACUUGAAACCAGGAAGCAG